AGGGAACGCGGGCGGUAGGCCUAACACAUGCAAGUCGAACGGCAGCACAGUAAGAGCUUGCUCUUACGGGUGGCGAGUGGCGGACGGGUGAGGAAUACAUCGGAAUCUACUUUUUCGUGGGGGAUAACGUAGGGAAACUUACGCUAAUACCGCAUACGACCUACGGGUGAAAGCAGGGGAUCUUCGGACCUUGCGCGAUUGCAUGAGCCGAUGUCGGAUUAGCUAGUUGGCGGGGUAAAGGCCCACCAAGGCGACGAUCCGUAGCUGGUCUGAGAGGAUGAUCAGCCACACUGGAACUGAGACACGGUCCAGACUCCUACGGGAGGCAGCAGUGGGGAAUAUUGGACAAUGGGCGCAAGCCUGAUCCAGCCAUACCGCGUGGGUGAAGAAGGCCUUCGGGUUGUAAAGCCCUUUUGUUGGGAAAGAAAAGCAGCAGGUUAAUACCCCGCUGUUCUGACGGUACCCAAAGAAUAAGCACCGGCUAACUUCGUA
rnacentral:rRNA from 1 species